rnacentral:rRNA from 1 species
CCUACGGGUGGCUGCAGUUCGGAAUAUUCGGCAAUGGACGAAAGUCUGACCGAGCGACGCCGCGUGCGGGAUGAAGGCCCUUUGGGUUGUAAACCGCUGUCACAGGUGAGCAAAUCACGCUGAGUUAACACCUCAGUGUGUUGAGUUAAGCUUGAGAGGAAGCCCCCGCUAAUCACGUGCCAGCAGCGGCGGUAAUACGUGAGGGGCGAACGUUGUUCGGUGUCACUGGGCUUAAAGGGCGCGUAGGUGGUUGCGUAAGUAAGGUGUGAAAGCCCUCGGCUUACCCGGGGAAUUGCGCCUUAUACUGCGUGACUUGAGGAUCUCAGGGGAAGGGGGAACUCCAGGUGUAGCGGUGAAAUGCGCAGAUAUCUGGGGGAAGGCCGGCGGCGAAGGCGCCCUUCUGGGAGAUUCCUGACACUGAGGCGCGAAAGCGUGGGGAG